AAUGAACGCUGGCGGCAGGCCUAACACAUGCAAGUCGAGCGAAGCCUUCGGGCUUAGCGGCGGACGGGUGAGUAACGCGUGGGAACGUGCCCUUUGGUACGGAAUAGCCCCGGGAAACUGGGAGUAAUACCGUAUGUGGUCGAGAGACGAAAGAUUUAUCGCCGAAGGAUCGGCCUGCGUUGGAUUAGGUAGUUGGUGGGGUAAUGGCCUAGCAAGCCGACGAUCCAUAGCUGGUGUGAGAGGAUGAUCAGCCCAACUGGGACUGAGACACGGCCCAGAAUCCUACGGGAGGCAGCAGUGGGGAAUCUUAGACAACGGGGGGAACCCUGAUCUAGUGAUGCCGCGUGAUCGAUGAAGGCCUUAGGGUUGUAAAGAUCUUUCAGUGGGGAAGAUAAUGACUGUACCCACAGAAGAAGCCCCGGCUAACUCCGUGCCAGCCGCCGCGGUAA
rnacentral:rRNA from 1 species